rnacentral:tRNA from 1 species
GGUGCUUUAGCUCAGUGGUAGAGCACGUGCUUAGCACGCUCGAGGUCCUGGGUUCAAUUCCCAGUCCA